rnacentral:rRNA from 1 species
CCUACGGGAGGCAGCAGUGAGGAAUAUUGGUCAAUGGACGAGAGUCUGAACCAGCCAAGUAGCGUGAAGGAUGACUGCCCUAUGGGUUGUAAACCUCUUUUAUACAGGAAUAACACGAGGCACGUGUGCCUUUUUGCAUGUACUGUACGAAUAAGGACCGGCUAAUUCCGUGCCAGCAGCCGCGGUAAUACGGAGGGUCCGAGCGUUAUCCGGAUUUAUUGGGGUUAAAGGGAGCGUAGGUGGGUUGUUAAGUCAGUUGUGAAAGUCUGCGGCUCAACCGUAGAAUUGCAGUUGAUACUGGCAGUCUUGAGUACAGUUGAGGUAGGCGGAAUUCGUGGUGUAGCGGUGAAAUGCUUAGAUAUCACGAAGAACCCCGAUUGCGAAGGCAGCUUACU